GAACGCAGCCAAAAGAACGCUGAUAACCGUAAGAAACAGAAGACAAAACAUAUAAUCGGAUCAAAAUCUUACUCGCAAGUUAGUUUUGAGAAGAGAAACUUAGAAACUGGAGAAGAGCCAGAUUGUAUUGCUCUAUGGGAACUCACCCACACAAACAAUGGAACAUGGUCUAACACAGAUUCCCAGAAAGUUUACGACCAAGCAGUUGAAGAGGUUAAAAACAAAGAAGCUGAAACUGAAGGUCCACUUACAAGUGAGCAAAAAAACAAUGUUUUCCAGACCGCUUACAAAGACACUCUGGAAUGCAAGUCAUCGCAGCCUCGUGGGUACGGAGACAUGGCCAAAACUUCAACUGGUUCUGAAAAGUUCCGUAUCCAGAUUGAAGAGCAAGCUCGUGCUACAGCAGCCACCCAGGAGCGAAACUCUCAGCUCAGCCAGCAGGUCAAUGACUUAGAAGAUCAACUACAAGUUCAACGUGCUAACACACAAGAGAGGAUUAACUUGGAGCGUGCUGAGAGAGAACAACUUGAGGAGAGGUUAAAAGAAGAGCGUGCUGAAAGGGAAAGAUUGUUGCAAGAGGAGCGAACAUCAAGACUGGAAUUUGAAAAAAACAUGAUGGCAAAGUUUGUAGAAUUGAGCAAACAGGUGGAAACCCAACAGGUUCCUACGAAGAGGGUUGACAAAGAAAAUAGUAAUCCAAACUUGCAAAAUAUUCUUUCACAGACAUCUAGUCCUAAUAAGACUCCAGGUUCAAGGCCGACUGCUAUUUCUUCAAAUGCGCUCAUACAAGCUGCAGCAAGGCAAUCUCGAAUGUAUAAAGCAAUGCUAAGUCACAACCUUGCUUUCUCUUCAUGUUCACCUGCAUUUUAUACGUCAUUGGUCUUCAUAAUUAGCUAG
rnacentral:rRNA from 1 species